UACGGAGGAUCCAAGCGUUAUCCGGCUUCCUUGGGUUUAAAGGGUGCGUCGGCGGAAUGAUAAGUCAGUGGUGAAAGCCUGUUGCUUAACAACAGAACUGCCAUUGAUACUGUCAAUCUUGAGUACAUUUGAUGUGGGCGGAAUGUGUCAUGUAGCGGUGAAAUGCUUAGAGAUGACGCAGAACACCGAUUGCGAAGGCAGCUCACAAAACUGUAACUGACGCUGAGGCACGAAAGCGUGGGUAUCAAACAGG
rnacentral:rRNA from 1 species